rnacentral:lncRNA from 1 species
AGCCCCAGUUACCGCUGCACAGCACAGUUGGCCUCCCGGACUAAAAAAAAUCCUUCGGCGCGAAGCCUUCUCUCACUCCUCCCAACCUCCACACGCCGCGGGCGCGCGCGCGGCGCGGAGCUCGUCUCGCCUCCGGUCUCGAGGAUCUCCGCCGGCGAAUCACCCCCGAUUCCAGCAAGGAUGAAAUCAAUCAAGGAAUCCAGCAAUCAAGAGGUGAGGAAGGUGCUCACAUAUGGUUUUCAUGACUCAAAGAGUUUCAAAACAUGCCAAGCAGAUAGACCUAGUUCAACUGCAAGAUAUGGAUAUUUUCCAGCAGUUCUCAGUUCUCAGAGUCCAGAUACUGUACUCAGACCAUCCUUACGAAUCAUAACUAGCAUGGUUUUCUAG